AGGAGACAGCAGCCCAGUCAUAGCAGGAACCUCUCAGACAGCCCGGCGGCCUUCCUUCGCACCUGACGUGGAUUCUCAUUCCCGGACAUCCAAAAGAUAAGUCGAGGGCCAUGACUCACAGAGGGGCUGGAAGGGGGCCGCCGCGUCAGGUCCCACCGGGAGGGAUUUUUGAGUCAGCUUUGGAGCUGAGGAUAUCCAGGAUAUGUCAUCUUAAGACCACAUGAAAGCAAAGCGUCACUUUUGAACCCAGCGCCGAGACGCACAGGGCAGAGCGGUUCCGGCACGUGUCAUGUCAUAUGGGUGUUGUGCCUUGUGUGUCAUUUAGCUGUCUCUUGUCUCUUCCCUUAGCCCUUUGAGGGGCCUAUCAGAAACCCCGGCAUCCUUUUCAGCAUCUGCGAUCUCUGCGUUUCUCGGUCUGGCACCAAUGCCGUAGGACUUUUGACUCAGGAGCUGAGACAGGGAUCAGAACCGCACCUCUCUUUAGAAGCAUCCAGUCAGAUGUCUUUGACGACGGACAGCUGCGCCCCGCAAGGAUCCAUUAUUGCGGAUUAGGACUCGUAAGAAGAUGCAGAUGGAUAAAAUCCAUAGCAGAGCACCCCAUCCCAGGCAAUCCAUGUGGAGUACACAUAACUCGCCGUCAGACACUGGCCGACGGACCGUGAUUGUUGUUUUUUGGAGCCAUGUGGAAGUAUUACAGGACUCGGCGAUGAAGCCUCUGCCUUUUCGAUUUAAAGGAGUCACCCGGAGAGACUUUGGCAACGCCGAGGAGUCACGGCGAGUCGGG